AGAUCACUGCUGAGUAAGCUAUCCCUGUGUUUGUCCACAUGCUCUCUGGGUCAGUGUUGAUGCAGCUUGUCUCAAUGCUGCAGUAGCACUGACUGCAGGAUGAACAAACCACAUACAUCUUUUUUUUUUUUUUUUUUCUUUUUUCCAGCUACCUACUUUUUUUUUCUUUCUUUCUUUUUCUCUAGCCAUCUCACAGAAUGGCAGAAAGCAUACUCUUAAACGAUGCUAUCUAGAUUAUCUUAGUGAUAUCAGUAUGGCUAGAAAUAUAUUCCAUCAUCAGGCCACUUUUGUCACUGUUGCCAAAACCAGAGCCAGAAAGUCAAAUCAAGGAAUCUGUGAUAGGAUGGAUAGCAGAGGCAAGAUGUUCUGAUGAGAAAGAAUGACAUUGAAGUUGAAUGGGUACGGCAAUAGGAAAUGCCUUUUUGCCCUCUUUUGUAACUUAAGAGCGCCUUAAUUUUUAAAAGGCCAGUUUAGAAAGUAAGAAUAUUUUAGUUAAUCAUUUAGUACUCACUUCAAUUAGAAUACUUACUAAAACUUCCAAUGACAUUACAAUUAAAACUUUGAAAAUAAUUUUAUUACAAAUUCUUGCUCCAUAAAGAUUUCUGCUCUGAAAAGAAAGCAUAUGCAGAAUCACUUCUUUAUCUGUUAUUGUCACAGUAUAGUUCUUUGAAACUACUGAGCAGAAGUCUUAGCUGAAAAUACAUUUCUAUACAUCUGAGGUGGUGGUUUUCAUACAAAUGCUAAGCUUGCUCAGCUGCAACUCUGUCAAGUGCAGGAAGGACACUGCUCAGGAAAAGGCAAUGCCCCAAUCUCGUCCACACCACUCAGCAGAGAAUGGGCAACUCCAUAGCUCAAAAAACCCAUGUCCAGUUUGUGAAUUGCUACUGAUCUUCUUGAUGUAAGCUGCCACAAGGCCAAAUUGCCUCACGUUCAGUCAUCUCGGGAUUGUGAUUAUAGAAUUAUAGAAUGGUUUGGGUAGGAAGGGACCUUUCAGAUCAUCCAGUUCCACCCCCCCGCUACAGGCAGCAACACCUCCCACUAGACCAGCUUGCUCAAGGUCCCACCUAGCCUGGCCUUGAAUGCUUCCAGAAUGGGUGCAUCCACAGCUUAUCUGGGCAAACUGUUACAGUAUCUCACCAUCCUCACAGUAAAGAAUUUCUUCUUACAAUCUAGUCCACAACCUGCCCUCUUCCAUUUCCCUCCAUUCUGUCGCUAAGUGCCCUGAUAAAAAGUCCCUCCCCAGCAUCACCUGUAUUAGUUGAAAUCGGAGCAGAAGGCAGUCUCAGGUAUAGGUGGAAAGCAAGGUUUUCCCACACUUAGUUAAUGGUGUGAAAUAUGGUGUCAAAUGCCUUGCUGAAGUCAAGGCACACAGCAUCCACUGCUCCAUCCCACCCCCCGACCAUCUACCCAGCCAGUGAUGACAUCAGAAAACGCUGUUAGGUUGAUCAAGCAUGACUUCCCCUUGGUGGAUCCAUGUUGGCUACGCCCGAUAACCUUCUCCUCUCCCAAUGGCUUGGAGAGGGUAUCCAGAACAAGUUGUUCCAUCAUCUUUCUGGGGAUGGAGGUGAGGCUGAGUAGCUGGUAGUUUCCCAGAUCCACCUUCUUGCACUUUUGAAAGACUGGAGUGACACUGGCUAUCCUCCAGUCUUCAGGCAUCUCUCUCCUGUUUGCCAGGACCUUCCAAAGAUGACAGAGAGCCAUUUAGCAAUCACCUCUGCCAGUUCCUUCAGCACAUGUGGGUGCAUCCCAUCGGGGCCUGUGGAUUAGCGUGCGUUAAUUUUGGCUAGAUGCUCUCUGGCCCAAUCCUCCUCGACCAAGGGGAAGCCUUCCCUUCCCCAGACUUUCUCUCUUACCUACAGGGUCUGGGGUCUGGGGUUCCUAACUGUUAGUCUUAGCAUUAAAGACUGAAGCAAAGAAGGCAUUCAGAAUCUCUGCCUUCUCAGCAUUCCCUGUUACCCAGGCACCCAGCUCAUUUAGUAGAGGUCCCGCAUUUUCCCUAGGCUUCCUUUUACUGUUGACAUACUUCUAAAAAUCCUUUUCUUCUUAUCCUUUACCUCCUUUUCAAGAUUGAAUUCAGAGAGGGCCCCAGCCUUCCUUGUUCCUUCCCUGCAGGCACUGACAACGUUCCUAUACUCUUUGCCGGUGGACAGGCCCUUCUUCCACCGUUCACGGAUGUUCUUCCUUCCUCUCAGCUUAUCUGUGAGCUCCUUGCUCAUCCCCAC
ensembl:lncRNA